UGCCAGCAGCCGCGGUAAUACGGAGGGCGCAAGCGUUAUUCGGAAUUAUUGGGCGUAAAGAGCGCGCAGGCGGCCAGGUCAGUCGAAUGUGAAAGCCCCCGGCUCAACCGGGGAAGGUCGUUCGAUACUGCUUGGCUUGAAGAUGGGAGAGGGAAGUGGAAUUUCAGGUGUAGUGGUGAAAUGCGUAGAUAUCUGAAGGAACACCAGUGGCGAAGGCGACUUUCUGGCCCAUUCUUGACGCUGAGGCGCGAAAGCUAGGGGAGCGAACGGGAUUAGAUA
rnacentral:rRNA from 1 species